UAUGAAUGUGGAUAUGCAAAUCAAACAUGUUUGUUUCUUUGUUUCCCCAGGGAAAACUUGAAGAGUCUUUCACUUUUCAUCCUCCAGUCACUGAUUGGGCUAUAAGGACACUGUGUGAGGUGAUUCAACUUUGCUGUUUAUCACUGAUCAGACUAGAAGAAGAAGAGUGUUCUAAAAAGACACACACCUACAGCAAAAAGAAAAGAAAAGAAAAGAAAAGAAAAGAAAAGAAAAGAAAAGAAAAGAAAAGAAAAGAAAAGAAAAGAAAAGAAAAGAAAAGAAAAGAAAUCAAAAGCCACGCAAUAGCCACUUCCCAUUAGAUUUCUGGUCUGAUUUUGUGACCGUGGAAAUGUAACUGUAUAAAUGUAUGCUGUAACUCACAGUUGCUAUUGAAAUAGACUUUAUGAAUCUAUAAACAUUCUGCCAACAUAGCCAUCUUCAAAGCUUUCAAAAGUUGCAAUACAGUAACGUGGCAAAUGAUCUAUGUUUUUGUACAUGCACAUAUUUUUCAUGACUAAUACCUGAAGGGGUGCUUUUGAAAAUUGUAAAAGCUCACUUUUGUACCUGCUUCCAUUCCACUUAUUUUAAUGAAUAAAUAUUAUGCAAUAA
rnacentral:lncRNA from 1 species